CGAGCACGCGCGUGUGGCAUAUCAAUAAGCGGAGGAAAAGAAACUAACAAGGAUUCCCUUAGUAACGGCGAGUGAAGCGGGAAGAGCUCAAAUUUGAAAUCUUCAAGGUUCCUACCUUGACGAAUUGUAGUUUAUAGAAGUGUUUUCUGUUAGUGGAGUGGCAAAAGUUCUUUGGAAUAGGACAUCAUAGAGGGUGAGAAUCCCGUAUUUGGUCAUUCCUCCUAGCGUUGUGAUACACUUUCAACGAGUCGGAUUGUUUGGGAAUGCAGUCCAAAAUGGGUGGUAAAUUUCAUCUAAAGCUAAAUAUUGGCGAGAGACCGAUAGCGAACAAGUACCGUGAGGGAAAGAUGAAAAGAACUUUGAAAAGAGAGUUAAACAGUACGUGAAAUUGUCAAAAGGGAAGCGUUUGACACCAGUGUUGUUUUUCCGAAAAUCAAUUACGAAUGUUUUGUUUUUAAGGAGUUAUGACUUCAUCGGCUUGCUCCUUUCUUUAUGAAACUUUCUUAAUGCACUUUUCGGUUAACAAGUCAACAUCAAUUUCUUUUGUUGUAAAAGGGUAUGAGGAAGGUGGCUUUCUUUUCGGAGAAAGUGUUUAUAGCCUUGUGCCUCUGCAAUCGGAGAGAUUGAGGUCUGCAGCGUAGAUCCUUCGGGGUUAGAUACGUUUGUGCUAAGUUAUAGCUUUUCAUAGACAACUUGUUGACUAUGUUUAGUCUUGUAGCUUACUCGCUGACGCUAUUUUACCUACGCUUAGGAUGUUGAUGUGAUACUGCGAGCA
rnacentral:rRNA from 1 species